GACGAACGCUGGCGGCGUGCUUAACACAUGCAAGUCGAACGGAAAGGCCCUGCUUUUGUGGGGUGCUCGAGUGGCGAACGGGUGAGUAACACGUGAGUAACCUACCCUUGACUUUGGGAUAACUUCAGGAAACUGGGGCUAAUACCGGAUAGGAGCUCCUGCUGCAUGGUGGGGGUUGGAAAGUUUCGGCGGUUGGGGAUGGACUCGCGGCUUAUCAGCUUGUUGGUGGGGUAGUGGCUUACCAAGGCUUUGACGGGUAGCCGGCCUGAGAGGGUGACCGGCCACAUUGGGACUGAGAUACGGCCCAGACUCCUACGGGAGGCAGCAGUGGGGAAUAUUGCACAAUGGGCGGAAGCCUGAUGCAGCAACGCCGCGUGCGGGAUGACGGCCUUCGGGUUGUAAACCGCUUUCGCCUGUGACGAAGCGUGAGUAACGGUAAUGGGUAAAGAAGCACCGGCUAACUACGUGCCAGCAGCCGCGGUGAUACGUAGGGUGCGAGCGUUGUCCGGAUUUAUUGGGCGUAAAGGGCUCGUAGGUGGUUGAUCGCGUCGGAAGUGUAAUCUUGGGGCUUAACCCUGAGCGUGCUUUCGAUACGGGUUGACUUGAGGAAGGUAGGGGAGAAUGGAAUUCCUGGUGGAGCGGUGGAAUGCGCAGAUAUCAGGAGGAACACCAGUGGCGAAGGCGGUUCUCUGGGCCUUUCCUGACGCUGAGGAGCGAAAGCGUGGGGAGCGAACAGGCUUAGAUACCCUGGUAGUCCACGCUGUAAACGGUGGGUACUAGGUGUGGGGUCCAUUCCACGGGUUCCGUGCCGUAGCUAACGCUUUAAGUACCCCGCCUGGGGAGUACGGCCGCAAGGCUAAAACUCAAAGGAAUUGACGGGGCCCCGCACAAGCGGCGGAGCAUGCGGAUUAAUUCGAUGCAACGCGUAGAACCUUACCUGGGUUUGACAUGGAUCGGGAGUGCUCAGAGAUGGGUGUGCCUCUUUUGGGGUCGGUUCACAGGUGGUGCAUGGCUGUCGUCAGCUCGUGUCGUGAGAUGUUGGGUUAAGUCCCGCAACGAGCGCAACCCUUGUUCACUGUUGCCAGCACGUUAUGGUGGGGACUCAGUGGAGACCGCCGGGGUCAACUCGGAGGAAGGUGGGGAUGACGUCAAGUCAUCAUGCCCCUUAUGUCCAGGGCUUCACGCAUGCUACAAUGGCUGGUACAGAGAGUGGCGAGCCUGUGAGGGUGAGCGAAUCUCGGAAAGCCGGUCUCAGUUCGGAUUGGGGUCUGCAACUCGACCUCAUGAAGUCGGAGUCGCUAGUAAUCGCAGAUCAGCAACGCUGCGGUGAAUACGUUCCCGGGGCU
rnacentral:rRNA from 1 species